CCUUGUUUCCAAGGCAGUUUUCCCACCUGUUAUGUGCUGGUGAUUUAACUGCCCCCUGCUGGUGAUCUGUGCUUCUGUCCUCUACUUGUUAACCUGGAGCUCCACCUUAACAAGCUGCUGAUUGCCUGAUUGGCUUCACCUGCCUGUGGCCCUCCAUAAGCCUGCUGCAGCUGAAGAAAGGGGAUAUUCUUUUGCAGAGAGAUUUUGUGGCUGGACCAUGCACCAUGAUGCAGACUUGUGGUUUUGUUUAGUUCUUCAUUUGUCUUUUUGUGUGGUGUUGGGCAGGGAAUGUUCUUUUUAUUUCAUGCACACGUUUUUGUUAAGUUUUAGGUCAGAGUAGGAAAGACUGUGGAAAACUCACCAUUAUUGUUUCCAUCAGGAGAAAGAUGACUACUUGUAGUAGACCAGGCGAAGUCACGUGACUCUCUCGCCGCACGCACGGCUCGAUGGGGGCCGAGAAGCCGCCUAGAAGCCCUCCGGACACGGAGUGUGGGCGGGCCGGAACCCGAGAACGUUACCACGGCGCCCUGAGAAUUCCGUCUGCUGAUGGACUGACAGUACGGGUGAGGGAAUGUCCCAAACCCCUUACUCCGACCUACACAAGGCCUUCCCUGAAGCUUCAUCUUUAGUAAAACAACGACCCUCUCCUCGUGAAUAUAAUCACUAACUGUUGUUACCUUUACCCAGAAUCCACUGCAGGCUGUAAUUCAGUAGCUGCUAGUAGCGCACUAGUACAUGAAAGCAUGUCUAAAUCGUGAUGUCAUAUCAUGGGAUGAGACAUGCGCCCAUCAACUGGCCUUUAAUCAGUUUUCCCACGGGCCUAAAAUGCCACCCACCUCCGCUCCUUUCGUGUCAGAUGUUUUAGGCCAUCCCUCCACCCCCAUUUCACGUUUUAUUCCGUGUUUUUUUUUUUUUUCUUCUCCCCCCUCAUUUAUUUCCUCUUCCGCUAUUGCUGACGUUGUCCUACGGCAAGGUGCAACCCCACCUCUGGACUGCUAGCCCAAGAUUAAAUGCAUCAGUCAUUCCUAAUGCAAUGUACAGCGCUUUCUCCUCCUCGUCCGUUGUAUGGAAAUUUUAUUCUACUUUAGAUUAAUAUUAAUUAAAUAGUAAAUGCUCACUAGGAUCACACUGUUCCCAAUGGUGUGUAAAUCAGACAAGGUUUAUUUAUUCUGAAAAUCUACAAUAUGUCUGAAAUACAGAUAUGCUAAAUAUUCUGAUAGGAUUUUUUUAUUUUUUGUAUUUUUCUCACUACUGUACUGUGUUUGUAGGGUGUAGCACAAGGAUAUUAUUAUUAGAAAGUGUCAGAUCUUCCAUGGAUUGAUAACAGCUCAUUGAUUCUGUCACUGUCACAGAAAUCCCAUUGAAUUGGCUGCUACCACUGUAGACCUUUUCAUUUUGAUUGCUGACUGCUACUGCUGUCAUUCCUUAAAGUCAAACCCACAAUUUCUUCAAUAGUGUGAAAUGUACUUGGCGAUUGAUUGACUAUCCUGGAGAUGAGAGGUGGUAGCUCAGAUUAAUGGAUUGGUGGACGGACGGAUAGACGGAUGGAUGGAUAGAUAGAUAGAUGGAUGGAUCGGUGGAUAGAUACAUUAGUGUCCUCCAAAGAUGGAGUUAGUUUCACAGCUCAUAGGGGGGUUACGCAUACCGAUCCGUGCAAUUUCUACAAAUACACACAAAUCACAAUGGUUUUGUUUUCAAUAAACAUUCUACUGACAAAUACCAGGUCAAA